UUUAAUUCGAAGCAACGCGAAGAACCUUACCAGGGCUUGACAUCCCGCUGACCCCUUCAGAGAUGAAGGUUUCCUUCGGGACAGCGGUGACAGGUGGUGCAUGGUUGUCGUCAGCUCGUGUCGUGAGAUGUUGGGUUCAGUCCCGCAACGAGCGCAACCCUUGUCGUUAGUUGCCAGCAUUUCGGAUGGGCACUCUAAUGAGACAGCCGGUGAAAGCCGGAGGAAGGUGGGGAUGACGUCAAAUCAUCAUGCCCCUUAUGUCCUGGGCUACACACGUGCUACAAUGGCUGGUACAAAGGGCUGCGAACCCGCGAGGGGGAGCCAAUCCCAAAAAGCCAGUCUCAGUUCGGAUCGCAGGCUGCAACUCGCCUGCGUGAAGCCGGAAUCGCUAGUAAUCGCGGAUCAGCAUGCCG
rnacentral:rRNA from 1 species